ACCUAUUUAGUAUAAAAAGUACAAUAAGUUUCCAACUUAAAAGUUCUAAAGAAAUAGGUA
rnacentral:tRNA from 2 species